UCACUGCUUGCGCAGGCAGUCUCGCUAGAGUCCCCGGCAUUACCCGCUGGUAACUAGCGAUAGGGGUUGCGUUCGUUGCGGGACUUAACCCAACAUCUCACGACACGAACUGACGACAGCCAUGCAGCACCUCACCAGGAGCCCUUACGGGAAGUCCCCUUUCAGGGACGGUCCCCUGGUGUUCGAGCCUGGGUAAGGUUCUUCGCGUUGCAUCGAAUUAAGCCACAUGCUCCACCGCUUGUGCGGGCCCCCGUCAAUUCCUUUGAGUUUCACCCUUGCGAGCGUACUCCCCAGGUGGGAUGCUUAACGCGUUAGCUGAGGCACUGCCGCUCAAGCGCGGCAACACCGAGCAUCCAUCGUUUACAGCGUGGACUAC
rnacentral:misc_RNA from 1 species